rnacentral:rRNA from 1 species
AGUGAACGCUGGCGGUAGGCCUAACACAUGCAAGUCGAACGGCAGCACAGUAAGAGCUUGCUCUUACGGGUGGCGAGUGGCGGACGGGUGAGGAAUACAUCGGAAUCUACUUUUUCGUGGGGGAUAACGUAGGGAAACUUACGCUAAUACCGCAUACGACCUACGGGUGAAAGCAGGGGAUCUUCGGACCUUGCGCGAUUGAAUGAGCCGAUGUCGGAUUAGCUAGUUGGGGGGGUAAAGGCCCACCAAGGCGACGAUCCGUAGCUGGUCUGAGAGGAUGAGCGGCCCCGAUGGGAAUGAGACACGGUCCAAACUCCUACGGGAGGCAGGAGUGGGGAAUUUUGGACAAUGGGCAGAAGCCGAACCCACCCAAACCGGGGGGGGAAAGAAGGCCUUCGGGUUUUAAAGCCCUUUUGUUGGGAAAGAAAAGCAGCAGGUUAAUACCCCGCUGUUCUGGUGAUCCCAAAAGAAAAACCCCCGGCUAAUCUCGU